rnacentral:rRNA from 1 species
GAAGUAAAAGUCGUAACAAGGUUUCCGUAGGUGAACCUGCGGAAGGAUCAUUAUCGAGAUCGAACCUCUGGGAGGGGGAGGGCUUCCCCGAACCCUUUCGAGGCUUCAGCCCUCUAACACCUGUGUGCACCCACCGUAGGUCCUUAGGGACCUAUGUCUUCUUCGAACUCGCAUGUCUACAGAAUGUCGUCCGCGACCUCGGUCGCAGGAAACCUAAUACAACUUUCAGCAAUGGAUCUCUUGGCUCUCGCAUCGAUGAAGGACGCAGCGAAUCGCGAUAAGUAAUGUGAAUUGCAGAUUUUCCGUGAAUCAUCGAAUCUUUGAACGCACCUUGCGCUCCUUGGUAUUCCGAGGAGCAUGCCUGUUUGAGUGUCAUCGAAACAUCAGAUCGAAGCUUUCGGCCUCGUCGGAGCUCGGUUUGGACUUAUGGGAGUCUGCGGGCGAACCUCCCGUCGGGGGGACGUCGGCUCUCCUCAAAAGCAUUAGCGUUGGGUGCGAGCCUCGCGUGGCACGGCCUCUUCGACGCCAUAAUGACCGUCGUGGGCUGGAAGUGCGUGGAUCGUAGAUGCCCGUCGCUCUCCAACUCUGCGAGCCCGGUCCGUCCGGCCGCGUGUUAUCGAAGCUUGGCCUCAAAUCAGGUAGGACUACCCGCUGAACUUAAGCAU